AACCAUAUCUGGCAAGGGAGACACCUUGAUAAUGAAAGAGGUUUUCCCAGGGUAAAGCUCAUCCACUGCACCCCUGUACUGACCCCUGUGAUUUCCCCAAAUGCGGGAAACCUGACUGCAUAAUUUGUGGUAGUGGAGGGGACUGCGUUCACGCUUUCCCCAA